CCUACGGGAGGCAGCAGUAGGGAAUUUUCGGCAAUGGGGGGAAGCCUGACCGAGCAACGCCGCGUGAACGAAGAAGUUAUUCGUAAUGUAAAGUUCUUUUAACAGGGAAGAAAGAGAAAUUUGACGGUACCUGAAGAAUAAGCUCCGGCUAACUACGUGCCAGCAGCCGCGGUAAUACGUAGGGAGCGAGCGUUAUCCGGAAUUAUUGGGCGUAAAGGGUGCGUAGAUGGCAUAGUAAGUCUUUUGUAAAAAUGCUGGGCUCAACCCAGUAGGGCAAAAGAUACUGGAAAGCUAGAGUAUGAGAGAGGAAAGUGGAACUACAGGUGUAGCGGUAAAAUGCGUAGAUAUAUGUAAGAACACCAGUGGCGAAGGCGGCUUGCUGGGUCGAUACUGACAUUGAGGCACGAAAGCGUGGGGAGCAAACAGGAUUAGAUACCCGGGUAGUC
rnacentral:rRNA from 1 species